rnacentral:rRNA from 1 species
GUGGAUUAGAUACCCUGGUAGUCCACACGGUAAACGAUGAAUACUCGCUGUUGGCGAUAUACGGUCAGCGGCCAAGCGAAAGCAUUAAGUAUUCCACCUGGGGAGUACGCCGGCAACGGUGAAACUCAAAGGAAUUGACGGGGGCCCGCACAAGCGGAGGAACAUGUGGUUUAAUUCGAUGAUACGCGAGGAACCUUACCCGGGCUUAAAUUGCACUGGACAGGCUCAGAGAUGGGCUCUUCUUCGGACCAGUGUGAAGGUGCUGCACGGCCGUCGACAACU